GGCGGACGGGUGAGUAAUGCCUAGGAAUCUGCCUGAUAGUGGGGGACAACGUUUCGAAAGGAACGCUAAUACCGCAUACGUCCUACGGGAGAAAGCAGGGGACCUUCGGGCCUUGCGCUAUCAGAUGAGCCUAGGUCGGAUUAGCUAGUUGGUGAGGUAACGGCUCACCAAGGCGACGAUCCGUAACUGGUCUGAGAGGAUGAUCAGUCACACUGGAACUGAGACACGGUCCAGACUCCUACGGGAGGCAGCAGUGGGGAAUAUUGGACAAUGGGCGAAAGCCUGAUCCAGCCAUGCCGCGUGUGUGAAGAAGGUCUUCGGAUUGUAAAGCACUUUAAGUUGGGAGGAAGGGCAUUAACCUAAUACGUUAGUGUUUUGACGUUACCGACAGAAUAAGCACCGGCUAACUUCGUGCCAGCAGCCGCGGUAAUACGAAGGGUGCAAGCGUUAAUCGGAAUUACUGGGCGUAAAGCGCGCGUAGGUGGUUUGUUAAGUUGAAUGUGAAAGCCCCGGGCUCAACCUGGGAACUGCAUCCAAAACUGGCAAGCUAGAGUAUGGCAGAGGGUGGUGGAAUUUCCUGUGUAGCGGUGAAAUGCGUAGAUAUUGGAAGGAACACCAGUGGCGAAGGCGACCACCUGGGCUAAUACUGACACUGAGGUGCGAAAGCGUGGGGAGCAAACAGGAUUAGAUACCCUGGUAGUCCACGCCGUAAACGAUGUC
rnacentral:rRNA from 1 species